AGAGUUUGAUCCUGGCUCAGGAUGAACGCUAGCGGCAGGCCUAAUACAUGCAAGUCGAACGGGUGUAGCAAUACACUAGUGGCGCACGGGUGCGUAACGCGUAACCAACCUACCUACAUCUGGGGGAUAGCCCGCCGAAAGGCGGAUUAAUACCGCAUACACCUACUGCCUGGCAUCAGGGAGUAGGUAAAGAUUUAUUGGAUGUAGAUGGGGUUGCGUAGCAUUAGCUAGAUGGCGGGGUAAGGGCCCACCAUGGCGACGAUGCUUAGGGGACCUGAGAGGGUGAUCCCCCACACUGGCACUGAGAUACGGGCCAGACUCCUACGGGAGGCAGCAGUAGGGAAUAUUGGGCAAUGGGCGAGAGCCUGACCCAGCCAUGCCGCGUGCCGGAUGAAGGCCUUCUGGGUUGUAAACGGCUUUUCUUAGGGAAGAAAAAGACCUUGCGAGGUACACUGACGGUACCUAAGGAAUAAGCACCGGCUAACUCCGUGCCAGCAGCCGCGGUAAUACGGAGGGUGCAAGCGUUGUCCGGAUUUAUUGGGUUUAAAGGGUGCGUAGGUGGCCUGUUAAGUCCGGGGUGAAAGCCCACAGCUCAACUGUGGAACUGCCCUGGAUACUGGCGGGCUUGAGUCCAGACGAGGUUGGCGGAAUGGAAGCUGUAGCGGUGAAAUGCAUAGAUAGCUUCCAGAACCCCGAUUGCGUAGGCAGCUGACUAGGCUGGUACUGACACUGAGGCACGAAAGCGUGGGGAGCGAACAGGAUUAGAUACCCUAGUAGUCC
rnacentral:rRNA from 1 species